GAUGAACGCUGGCGGCGUGCCUAAUACAUGCAAGUCGAACGAACGGACGAGAAGUUUGCUUCUCUGAUGUUAGCGGCGGACGGGUGAGUAACACGUGGAUAACCUACCUAUAAGACUGGGAUAACUUCGGGACACCGGAGCUAAUACCGGAUAAUAUUUUGAACCGCAUGGUUCAACAGUGAAAGACGGUCUUGCUGUCACUUAUAGAUGGAUCCGCGCUGCAUUAGCUAGUUGGUAAGGUAACGGUUUACCAAGGCAACGAUGCAUAGCCGACCUGAGAGGGUGAUCGGCCACGCCGGAACUGAGACAGGGACCAGACCCCUACGCGAGGGAGCAGUAGGGGAUCUGCCGCAAGGGGCGAAAGCCUGACGGAGCAACGGCGCGUGAGUGAGGAAGGUCUCGGGAUCGGAAAUCUCUGUUACUAGGGAAGAACAGAUGUGUAAGUAACUGUGCACAUCGUGACGGUACCUAAACAGAAAGCCACGGCUAACUACGUG
rnacentral:rRNA from 1 species